rnacentral:rRNA from 1 species
AGAUGACGAGUGGCGCACGGGUGCGUAACGCGUAUACAACUUACCUAUAACUAGAGAAUAGCCCCGUGAAAACGGGAUUAAUACUCUAUAGUACCACGAAAUGGCAUCGUUUUGUGGUUAAAGAUUUAUCGGUUAUAGAUGGGUAUGCGUCCCAUUAGUUUGUUGGUGAGGUAACGGCUCACCAAGACUACGAUGGGUAGGGGGCCUGAGAGGGUUGUCCCCCACACUGGUACUGAGACACGGACCAGACUCCUACGGGAGGCAGCAGUGAGGAAUAUUGGUCAAUGGACGCAAGUCUGAACCAGCCAUGCCGCGUGCAGGAAGAAGGCCCUACGGGUUGUAAACUGCUUUUAUAUGGGAAGAAACCCCCCGACGUGUCGGGGGCUGACGGUACCAUACGAAUAAGCACCGGCUAACUCCGUGCCAGCAGCCGCGGUAAUACGGAGGGUGCAAGCGUUAUCCGGAUUUAUUGGGUUUAAAGGGUGCGCAGGCGGGAUAGUAAGUCAGUGGUGAAAUCCAACAGCUCAACUGUUGAACUGCCAUUGAUACUGCUAUUCUUGAAUUUAGUUGAAGUGAACGGAAUGUAACAUGUAGCGGUGAAAUGCAUAGAUAUGUUACAGAACACCAAUUGCGAAGGCAGUUCACUAAGCUAAUAUUGACGCUCAGGCACGAAAGCGUGGGUAGCGAACAGGAUUAGAUACCCUGGUAGUCCACGCCGUAAACUAUGAUUACUCGGUGCUAGCGAUACACAGUUAGUGCCCAAGCGAAAGUGAUAAGUAAUCCACCUGGGGAGUACGAUCGCAAGGUUGAAACUCAAAGGAAUUGACGGGGGCCCGCACAAGCGGUGGAGCAUGUGGUUUAAUUCGAUGAUACGCGAGGAACCUUACCUGGGCUUAAAUGCAAAAUGACCGUCUUGG